rnacentral:lncRNA from 1 species
UUGGUGACUAGGUUUGCACUAAUCCAGACACCGAGUUAUCAUACAGCAUUUUUAUUCUUUCUAGAUCUGAAUCCUGAGACUACAAGGCAGUCAGAUACCAUGAGAAGGCACUGGAGGUUAGAUGGUGCUGGGUGAAGAAUGGCAGAGAUGCAGGAUGUGAGCAUUGACUGGAUGCUGACUUCAUCAGAAGAGAUGUAUGAGGAAGGUCUUUUGAUAAAGAGUUGCCAAGGGUUCAAGACAGAGUCUGAAAAAUGGUGACGGACUAUAGUGUGGCCUGAGAAGACAGUGAUCAACUUAUGAGAUUUGGAACCUAAGAUGUAACCUCAGAGCACAAGACAAUCCUAUGUCAGGAGUAAGGCCUGGAGUGGAGCGCUGCUGGGAGAAGAAGAAACUCAAGGCUCCAUCAUCAGCUGACUGGAAAGGCGGGAGCAGGCAGGUGUGUGACUGGUGUCUUCAUUGCAGUGGGUCAACAGUGCCAUCGUGCGGAAAAGCCUUCAGACAUGCCUUGCACAUUCAGAAGCCGCUUCCCCAGGGCUGCUUGCAGCCUUUUUGGAGCAAUCGCCAUCAGGAAUCGCUUCUUGCGCCAUGGCUAAGAAUCAUGGGAAGGAGGCUCAGUGGUGCUGUGAGUUUUUUGAAACUCUGUCCGCACGAUGGCGGUAGAGCUCCAGGAAUGAUCUUGUCAGCGCUCCUCUCCCGCCCUUCCCGUCUGAAAAAACGCCACCAGAGACAAAGAACCAAAGCACCACAGAAGAUGACUCCCUGAGUUUUUGAAAGUUGUUUUGGUGUGUUGUAUUUUCUACAUUCAGCCCCAAGUAUAUCUAAAUUUAGUGGACUAUUUCUCUUCUGUCAUGGAGGAUAGUUUCCAUUUUAUUCCUAAUUACUUUGUAUAGCUGCCUAGUGUAAUUUAAAUUUUUAGUAUUCUUUUAUUUAUUAGUUUUUCAUGGUUUUUCGAGACAGGGUUUCUCUGUGUAGUUUUUGAGCCUAUCCUGCCACUAGCUCUGGAGACUAGGCUGUCCUCGAACUCACAGAGAUCCGCCUGCUUCUGCCUACCAAGUGCUGGAAUUAAAGGCGUGUGCCACCACUGCCCAGCUGAAAUAGUCUUAACUGUAGAAUAGAUUUUGAAGAAAGAAUGCAAAAAUUAUUUCUUCAAAAUGUUUUUCUGUCCUCAUGGUACUAUGCAAUGUGUAUUUAGUUAAUGGAACACAAGAUAUCUAUGUUUUAAGUAUAUAAGGAUAUGUAAGUUUAUUGUUUAUUUCUUGGUUUACAUUUCUGUAAUAAGUGCCAUGAUAAUUGUAAAAUUAGUCAGGAAUAUUAAUUCAGAAAAAUUAAAUGUGCUUAUUUCUACAUCCUAUACAUAAUGUAUAUAAAAUGUAUUCUGAUAAUCAUGUUAACUGUUAAUAUCAAAUCUACUGAGCUUUAGUAGUCAGUGACUCCAAUGUCAUGUACUAUUUGUGGGGGUUUGUUGUUUUUGUUUUGUUCUGUUUUUAGAAAAGUUUUCUGAUUGAUUUUAUAUUUUUUCUCAGAUUUUUUAUUUGAAUUAGAAACAAGAUUGUUUUACAUGAAAAUCCCAGUUCCCUUAUCCCUCCAGUCCUCCACGACCCCCCCCCCCAACUAAAACUACCUAUCAAAUGUCCUUUCUGCUCCCCCUGGACAGUGAGGCCUUCCAUAGGGUGUCAUCAGAGUCUAUAGUAUCCUUUGGGAUAGGGGAUAGUCCCACCCCAGUGUGUGUUGGCUCAGGGAGUAUUCCUCUAUGUGGAAUGGAU